UACGUAGGGUGCGAGCGUUGUCCGGAAUUAUUGGGCGUAAAGAGCUCGUAGGCGGUCUGUUGCGUCCGCUGUGAAAACCCAGGGCUUAACCCUGGGCUGGCAGUGGAUACGGGCAGACUAGAGGUAGGUAGGGGAGAAUGGAAUUCCCGGUGUAGCGGUGAAAUGCGCAGAUAUCGGGAGGAACACCGGUGGCGAAGGCGGCUCUCUGGACCGUAACUGACGCUGAGGCGCGAAAGCGUGGGGAGCAAACAGG
rnacentral:rRNA from 1 species